rnacentral:rRNA from 1 species
AUACGUAGGGGGCGAGCGUUGUCCGGAAUGAUUGGGCGUAAAGGGCGCGUAGGCGGCGCGGUAAGUCUGGAGUGAAAGUCCUGCUUUCAAGGUGGGAAUUGCUUUGGAUACUGCCGCGCUUGAGUGCAGGAGAGGUUAUCGGAAUUCCCGGUGUAGCGGUGAAAUGCGUAGAGAUCGGGAGGAACACCAGUGGCGAAGGCGGGUAACUGGACUGCAACUGACGCUGAGGCGCGAAAGUGUGGGGAGCAAACAGGAUUAGAUACCCUGGUAGUCCACACUGUAAACGAUGAAUGCUAGGUGUAAGAGGUAUCGACCCCUUUUGUGCCGGAGUCAACACAAUAAGCAUUCCGCCUGGGGAGUACGGCCGCAAGGAUGAAACUCAAAUGAAUUGGCGGGG